rnacentral:rRNA from 1 species
AGUGAACGCUGGCGGUAGGCCUAACACAUGCAAGUCGAACGGCAGCACAGUAAGAGCUUGCUCUUACGGGUGGCGAGUGGCGGACGGGUGAGGAAUACAUCGGAAUCUACUUUUUCGUGGGGGAUAACGUAGGGAAACUUACGCUAAUACCGCAUACGACCUACGGGUGAAAGCAGGGGAUCUUCGGACCUUGCGCGAUUGAAUGAGCCGAUGUCGGAUUAGCUAGUUGGCGGGGUAAGGGCCCACCAAGGCGCCGAUCCGUAGCUGGUCUGAGAGGAUGAUCAGCCACACUGGAACUGAGACACGGUCCAGACUCCUACGGGAGGCAGCAGUGGGGAAUAUUGGACAAUGGGCGCAAGCCUGAUCCAGCCAUACCGCGUGGGUGAAGAAGGCCUUCGGGUUGUAAAGCCCUUUUGUUGGGAAAGAAAAGCAGCAGGUUAAUACCCCGCUGUUCUGACGGUACCCAAAGAAUAAGCACCGGCUAACUUCGUG